CCUCAUCUUUGGAUUUUGACGAAAUGGGGGUAUUCAUGCCUGCGCUGCAAAGUAUGUUUUAGGCGAUUGAUUUUAUUGUUCAAAUGUGUAUUUUGCAGUAGCGUGCGGCUGUUACAUUCAUUGGUGCGGUCACUACAUUUUCGUGGGGCAGAAUCCCUUGUCUGAAGCGGUAUCACGACUUUCUCUCUCUUUAAGUUAUAUAUAUAUAUAUAUAUUGUUCUACAUUAAAAUGACAUGUUUACAGACUGUAUAUUUGCUGUAUGUUUAAUUAAGAUAUACCCAGUCUCAAGGCAGUUCGUGUAAUUUAAUCUAUUGAUUCGUGUCCAUGGACACGAUUUUCCCCUUUUUUUCGUGCCAGUCAGAACGACUUUCAAUCUAAUGUAUUUCAAUAGGAAGUAUUUUUCGUGCCUGCACCACGUUUUUUUGUCCUAUUAUUUUUUUCGUGUUUAUAAGCACGAAUUUAAUCUAAUGUAUUGCAAUAGUAUAUACCAGGGAUUGUUUUACUUUUUUUGUCAUUAAUUGAUUACACUUUAAGCGCUACUUUACUCAAAAUUUAAUCAGGAGAUGUUUAUCCUAUAAUAUUGAUGUUUCGAUCGGUUUCGUGUUUCAAAUACAAGAGUAAAUACUACAGUACCCAUGAGCCUUAUCGACAUCUACUAUGGUGAAGGCACCAGCUAAAACUACAUGUGGGCCCGCUGCAGAUCACAAUAUUUUCUCAACACAUGAACACUAACGUGUGCUUGAUAAUUCAACAAUACGAUGUUAUGGCCAUCAAUUUUGAUUGUUUCUACUUUGAUUGUAAAAAAAAUAAGUCAGUUUCGGACGCCUGCAUUUCCCAGAAUCCUCUCUGCCUCCGUUGCUAUGGAAUCUGAGCCAGUCCUCUUUGCUAUUGGGUGAUUUCUUCUUCGGUACUCGUGACAGGGAUUCUCUCAUACGCGAAAAUCAUUGUCCAGGUAAGUCACGAUGCUUUCGUUUAAAGUUCACUAUUUGUUUAAAUGUUAUAAUUCACACCUUUCUUUUGGCAUUAGGGUGACAUUGCCAUACCCGUACGAAAAUUAACCAUGUUUUUGUGGUAAAAGUGUAGUAACUACGGUUUGUGUAUCGAUUAUUUGCAAAAUGGUUUUACUAAACCAAACAUGGUUUAACUUUUUUUUCAAAUUCAUGGUUCUUUCUUAACUGUAGUAAAACAAUGGUUAAUUUUUGCAAGGGAAGUCUAAUUAAAGUCCCAUUAAUAAGCUAACGUUAACCUAGUUUAAGUUAUCAACCUUUAGGGUAACUUAACGUGUUCAUUGUUUUAUUGUGUGAGCUUAAUAUAGUCUAAAGUUUUAAUAUUUGUCUUAUAAUAUUUGUAAGAAAAUAGGAAUCCCCACUAUUGGGAUACACUAUUUAAGCCUUAUAUUAGAGCUAAUUUACACUACAUAAGAAAAAUUUUCUGUUCUCCCUGCAGAUCCUGUCAUUCGAAUCACCUGUCACAACUUAGAUUUAACGUUGCUUAUUUUAUAAACCCAAAGGCACUUUUAAAAGCCAUCAUUUACUACACAAAGCCAUAGUUCACUGACAAGCUGGGCCAUAUCGCAGGCGAUAAUUAAUGCGAAAUUGCCCUGGUUGUCAGUGAACUAUGGCUUUGUGUAGUAAAUGCUGCUCCAUCUGAAAGCAGGUGAUGUUGGUGUACUACUAAUCAAAGAACCGGCUUUACUGACGAGAUGCGCAUGAAAAUCACAUGUGAUUUAUCGUGCAGCCGUACUUGAAAAACUCCAUGCUACUGGAUACAAGCCAGUUCUGCUUCGUGAAAAGGAGACCAAGAAGCAAAAUAUUAAGUGUGAGAGAUUAUCGCCUAUGCCCAGGACUACCUUCAGAAGAUCGGUUCCUUUUAUGAAUACCUUUGUGAAGGCUCGCAGCACUACCCUUGUAACGACUGAACAAUCAUCUGGGAUGUCCACAUAGAGAGAGAGAGGUUGGACCCAGGAUUCCAGUGGCAUUAUGAUCAGCUGGUUACACUGCACCUCACACCCUGUGACCCACUGGAGAAUCCAAACAACUGGAAGAGAUGACAAACAUGGUGGAGCAGGCGACCACUACAGAGGGACAGGUGGAGGCAGCGAACACUAUGGAAGGGCAGCUGGAGCAGGCGAGCACUACAAAGGGCCAAGGUGUCUACACAUGGUCAGCCACAGUCACAAAUCUUGCACUCUGUCGCAAAAAGAAAAAGCCAGGUGGACCAAAGCUUAUACCUGAUAAGAAAAAAGCUUAAAAGGAGUAAGUGUAUGUAAACAUUGAUGCUUUUAUCAGUGUGUUGACAUUGCUAUUUUUACCCCUGGUUAUUUGUUAUAGUUCUAUUGUUUAUUUCUCUAACUACUUACAACAGUCACAAAGGUUAGACAGUCAUAAAAGAAAUGCAUAGUAGACCAUAUGCAGAGUCUAAUAUAGGAUUCAAAUACUUCCUUGUGGGUAAUAAAUAACAUUGAUAUCGUAAUUGUUAGGUAGAUACUUUCUGUGUUUAGUCUUUUUGAAUUACAGGCUAAGAAGGAACAGAAAAAUCCAUGAUCAGAUGCUGUAAAUAUCAACAUUGACCCACUGUGGCAAAGCAGACAUUUUGGUGGACUGGGAGCCCUGUCCAGUAUGUGAUGAGAUUUGGACCCAUCCCUGGCAGCCAAAGGAUUCUCUCCAAAUUAAUUAAAAUAAUUAAAUAAAAAUUGUAUUACACUAAAA